rnacentral:tmRNA from 1 species
GGGGGUGACUGGUUUCGACUUGGGACGGUAGUCCCAGGAGAAGCGGGCCGAGGAUCCAGGGACAUCUCGUUAACGACUCCUGGAAACCAAUAAGUGCCAACACAUCGCGCACUGACUUCGCUCUCGCUGCCUGAGCAGUGACCGAAGGGUCAGCCCGGACGCGCCUUCCGUCCGGUUCCUGGCCUCAUUUAGAAGGCUUGCUGCACUGACCCCGUUCUCGGGUCAGCGCGGGACUUUUUGAGAACUGGGCCUGUCCACCACAUGCCGACGUGAGGGUGGGGGCCAAGCAGAACGCCUAGUCGGCUGCGCCCGGAGAAGUCCUGGUUCACCGCUCGAGGACGCGGGUUCGAUUCCCGCCACCUCCACC